AGCAGGCUGAACAGUCGCCGUGGCGCUUUGGGCGCCGCGGAGGAAAGUCCGAGCAUUCCGGGCCGGGAUAGUGGGUAACGCCCACCGGGGGCGACCCUAGGGAAAGUGCAACAGAAAUAAACCGCCGGCGCCCGUAAGGGCCCGGUAAGGAUGGAAAGGCGAGGUAAGAGCUCACCACCCCCUGUGGUGACACAGGGGGUCUGUAAACCCUAUCCGAUGCAACACCGAUAAAGGCAAGGGCGGCCCGCCCGUUUGAGCCUUGAAAGCGUGGCUUGAGGCCUCUGGCAACAGAGGAUCCAGAUAGAUGACUGUUCUCGACAGAACUCGGCUUACAGGCCUGCUCAU
rnacentral:RNase_P_RNA from 1 species